UACGAAGGGGGCUAGCGUUAAUCGGAAUUACUGGGCGUAAAGCGUGCGCAGGCGGUGAUGUAAGACUGGCGUGAAAUCCCCGGGCUUAACCUGGGAACUGCAUUUGUGACUGCCUCGCUGGAGUGCGGCAGAGGGGGAUGGAAUUCCGCGUGUAGCAGUGAAAUGCGUAGAUAUGCGGAGGAACACCGAUGGCGAAGGCAAUCCCCUGGGCCUGCACUGACGCUCAUGCACGAAAGCGUGGGGAGCAAACAGG
rnacentral:rRNA from 1 species